AAUAGCAGGAGUGGCCUGUGCCUCAACAACAUGCUUUUGCUGCAGAUAAUCAGCCAGAGCCUGUUUCUCUACUCCUCGCUAAGAAUGCUUUGUUUCCCGUAAGGAAAGCUUUUAGCUAAUCUAUAAUCUAUAGAAACUAUGCUUAUCAUUGGCUGUCAGUAAAUAUGUGGGUCAGACUCUGUUUGUGGCUUUCAGCUCUGAAGGCUGUCAGCUCCCUGAUCCCACUCUGCACUCUAUUUCUGUGUCUGUCUUUAAUUCUUCUAGUGCUGCUGGGUUAGGGUCUUCACGACCGAACUGGUCUCGGCAGUGGAAGAACAUGGAAACACUAGGCUGACUUAGUCUCCCAGCCUACAUCUUUCUCCCAUGCUGGACGCUGCCUGCCCUCAAACAUCAGACUGCAAGUUCUUCAGCUUUUGGACUCUUGGACUUACACCAGUGAUUUGCCAGGAGCUCUCAGGCCUUCAGCAACAGACUGAAGGCUGUGCUGUCGGCUUCCCUACUUUUGAGGUUUUGGGACUCAGACUGGCUUCCUGGCUCUUCAGCUUGCAGAUGGCCUAUUGUGGGACUUCACCUUGUGAUCAUCUCGCCCGUGCUUCGUGGGGGAAUGGAGCCCCUGGAGUGGUUGUGCAGACCAGUGCAAGCCUACAACCCGUGUGCGGAGGCGCUCGGUGCAGCAGGAGCCUCAGAACGGCGGGGCGCCCUGCCCACCCCUGGAAGAGAGAGCUGGCUGCCUGGAGUACUCCACCCCGCAGGGCCAGGACUGCGGGCACACCUAUGUUCCUGCCUUUAUAACUACCUCUGCAUUCAACAAGGAGAGAACACGACAAGCUACGUCUCCACACUGGUCUACACACACAGAGGAUGCUGGAUACUGUAUGGAGUUUAAGACAGAGUCCUUGACUCCUCACUGUGCUCUGGAAAACUGGCCCUUGACUAGAUGGAUGCAGUAUCUCCGAGAGGGAUACACGGUGUGUGUGGAUUGUCAGCCUCCAGCUAUGAACUCUGUGAGCCUUCGUUGUUCUGGAGAUGGCCUGGACUCCGAUGGAAAUCAGACUCUCCAUUGGCAAGCAAUUGGUAAUCCUCGGUGUCAAGGAACUUGGAAAAAAGUUCGGCGAGUAGACCAGUGUUCUUGUCCAGCUGUUCACAGUUUUAUUUUUAUAUAGAUGGUGAUAUAAAUAUUUCCAAAUGCAUUUGUAAACAUUCUAAAUAUUCUCAAGUCAUGUUCAAUGUUUCCUAAACCUUCAAUUUUGGCCAAAGUCCCCAAACACAUCAUUGCCACACUCUGAAGUAGAGAAAGAAAAUUUAGGGGCCAGUUCUCAAGGAACACAGGUCCUUUAUUUUUAUUUUAACUAAGUUGAAGACCCACUCAAAAAGCUCUUGUGGUUUUAUGUUCUUGACCUUUCAACUGGAGUCCUCUCAUUCAGCAGGUGGCCCGUGAGACACAGAAUACAUGUCUGUUUGCUAAAGUAAAAUUACUGUAACUCAGUCCGAUUAUUGGUGACGGAAGUGUCAUUUAAGGGGAUCUAUGUUUUGAACCUUGCAGUCUAUUUUAUAAUCUUUUAAAAGUUUCUCACUUUAAAACAUGUAUACAGGUAUGCACACUCUACACAUAUAUUUCCAUAUAUUUAAUAUUCCAUAAAUUCUGAAAUAAUUUCAAGCAAAUUAUCACAAAUAAUUUUUCCACAGGGCAAAUUAUUUAAAAUUUUAGUAAGCAUUCUGUAAUGAAAAACCAAGUUAUACUAAAAACAUUUUUUGAAGAAGAAAUUUUUUUUUUGCUUAAGAAGUGAAAGGAUCAAAUGCUCAUUGUAGGUCAAUGGGAGUUCUUUUAAAUGUUAUAAUUUUCAUGAAAAGAAAUGUUGACACCAGUGAAUGAAACAAUUGCUUUCAUUCUGAAAAUUCUACCACCAUUUGCAUCUAAGAUUAUUUCCAAGGCUUAAAGCCUGAAGCUGAAUAAAAUAAUCUUUCAGAGUCC
rnacentral:lncRNA from 1 species